rnacentral:rRNA from 1 species
CCUACGGGCGGCAGCAGUGGGGAAUAUUGCACAAUGGGGGAAACCCUGAUGCAGCGACGCCGCGUGAGUGAAGAAGUAAUUCGGUAUGUAAAGCUCUAUCAGCAGGGAAGAAAAUGACGGUACCUGAGUAAGAAGCCCCGGCUAACUACGUGCCAGCAGCCGCGGUAAUACGUAGGGGGCAAGCGUUAUCCGGAUUUACUGGGUGUAAAGGGAGCGUAGACGGCACUGCAAGUCUGAUGUGAAAGGCGGGGGCCCAACCCCGGGACUGCAUUGGAAACUGUUCGACUGGAGUGCAGGAGAGGUAAGCGGAAGUGCUAGUGGAGCGGUGGAGUGCGUAGAUAUUAGGAGGAAGACCAGUGGGGAAGGCGGCUUACUGGACUGUAAGUGACGUUGAGGGUCGAAAGCGUGGGGAGCAAACAGGAUGAGAUACCCGGGUAGUC